CCUACGGGGGGCAGCAGUGAGGAAUAUUGGUCAAUGGCCGGAAGGCUGAACCAGCCAUGCCGCGUGAAGGUCAGUGCCCUAUGGGCGUUAAACUUCUUUUGUGCGGGAGCAAUAAUGGUCACGUGUGGCCAGAAGAGAGUACCGUACGAAUAAGAAUCGGCUAACUCCGUGCCAGCAGACGCGGUAAUACGGGGGAUGCAAGCGUUAUCCGGAUUUAUUGGGUGUAAAGGGGGCGUAGGGUGUGAGGUAAGUCAGCGGUGAAAUGCCCCCGCUCAACGGGGUGAAGUGCCAUUGAUACUGGCUUGCUGGAAUGCGGAUGCCGUGGGAGGAAUGUGUGGUGUAGCGGUGAAAUGCAUAGAUAUCACACAGAACACCGAUUGCGAAGGCAUCUCACGAAUCCGCGAUUGACGCUGAUGCACGAAAGCGUGGGUAUCAAACAGGAUUAGAUACCCUGGUAGUC
rnacentral:rRNA from 1 species